UACGAAGGGGGCGAGCGUUGUUCGGAAUUACUGGGCGUAAAGGGCGUGUAGGCGGUCAGGUAAGUGAGAUGUGAAAUGCCCCGGCUCACCCGGGGACCGGCAUCUCAUACUGCUUGGCUUGAGUACGGGAGAGGAUGUGGGAAUUCCUGGUGUAGCGGUGAAAUGCGUAGAUAUCUGGAGGAAUACCGGUGGCGAAGGCGGCAUCCUGGACCGGCAUUGACGCUGAGGCGCGAAAGCCAGGGGAGCAAACGGG
rnacentral:rRNA from 1 species